UGUUGAAAAUUAUCUGAGGAACCAGUAGCAUCCAUAGGUAGAGAGAGUUGGUAGCUUUCAAGAGGAGGGUGUUGCUCUUGUUUGUGGUAACUCAGUGCUUAGGGCCCACAGCUGCAGGAGCAACAGGGACAGUGGCAGCUUUCUUCUGGUGGAUUGCUUUGAAGUUCUUGGUCUCUACCCUCUCCUCUUGUUUAGACAUAGGCGCAAGAGGCUGAAGAGCAGGCUCUGGCUUCCCUGUGGACUGAAAUCCUAAACGAUUAAAAUUUUUGGAUGCCCAACUUGACAUCUCGGAGAGACUUAAAUCUUGGAUGCUACGCUCCCAAAAUCACUAGCCAAUCCUGAAAAUUUAGGCUUCUGUGCAGAUACAGACAAGAGGCCUGGCUUCACCAUUCCCUUUCCAUGAAGGAUCUCUACCUCUAACAGUUGUUUUUCUGGGAGCCUCAUCCUUUGACCAUUGCAAUUUCCUGAGAUGAGUCAGAGUAAAUGGCUGAACUAGAGGGAAAUUCUUCCUCUGAUCCAUAUAUGCAGAUUAAAUGUACAUUUGCAACAAACCAGUUCAAUGGGCAUUAUGCACAAUAUGAUCUGUCGUGUGCUUCGAUAACUAGUAUUUUACCCUGGGACAGCAAUUAUUAUUGUUUUUAUUCCUAAGAAGAAAUGAUUAAAUCAAACGUUUGAAGCUGUUUGUGUUUGUACUAAUGCGGGAAUAGUCUUUGACAUUGUUUUACUCACCUUAGAUACAACGUCUCACAUACCCAUGGCUACUUGCAGGGGGGAAGAGGCCAAUGUUUAUCUGUUUUGAGUAUGUUGUUAGUUCAAGGGCCAAGUAAUAAAGCAAGCUCUAUUUACAGUAAUACAAUUAAUAGAUUGCUGGUUAUUGAAAGGUAUUUAGGUGAAGCAUUAUGAACUGCCAGAAUGUUAUUCAGAGAACACAUUUCACUUACAUUUGA